AUUGAACGCUGGCGGCAUGCCUUACACAUGCAAGUCGAACGGCAGCGGACCUUCGGGUGCCGGCGAGUGGCGAACGGGUGAGUAAUAUAUCGGAACGUACCUUUCAGUGGGGGAUAACGUAGCGAAAGUUACGCUAAUACCGCAUAUUCUGUGAGCAGGAAAGCAGGGGAGUCGCAAGACCUUGCGCUGAUUGAGCGGCCGAUAUCAGAUUAGCUAGUUGGUGAGGUAAAGGCUCACCAAGGCGACGAUCUGUAGCGGGUCUGAGAGGAUGAUCCGCCACACUGGAACUGAGACACGGUCCAGACUCCUACGGGAGGCAGCAGUGGGGAAUUUUGGACAAUGGGCGCAAGCCUCGAUCCAGCCAUGCCGCGUGAGUGAAGAAGGCCUC
rnacentral:rRNA from 1 species